rnacentral:rRNA from 1 species
UACGGGGGGGGGCAAGCGUUGUUCGGAAUUACUGGGCGUAAAGGGCUCGUAGGCGGCCAACUAAGUCAGACGUGAAAUCCCUCGGCUUAACCGGGGAACUGCGUCUGAUACUGGAUGGCUAGAGGUUGGGAGAGGGAUGCGGAAUUCCAGGUGUAGCGGUGAAAUGCGUAGAUAUCUGGAGGAACACCGGUGGCGAAGGCGGCAUCCUGGACCAAUUCUGACGCUGAGGAGCGAAAGCCAGGGGGAGCAAACAGG